rnacentral:rRNA from 1 species
GACGAACGCUGGCGGCAUGCCUUACACAUGCAAGUCGAACGGCAGCACGGGAGCAAUCCUGGUGGCGAGUGGCGAACGGGUGAGUAAUAUAUCGGAACGAGCCCAGUCGUGGGGGAUAACGCAGCGAAAGCUGUGCUAAUACCGCAUACGAUCUAUGGAUGAAAGCGGGGGAUCGCAAGACCUCGCGCGAUUGGAGCGGCCGAUAUCAGAUUAGCUAGUUGGUGAGGUAAAGGCUCACCAAGGCGACGAUCUGUAGCUGGUCUGAGAGGACGACCAGCCACACUGGAACUGAGACACGGUCCAGACUCCUACGGGAGGCAGCAGUGGGGAAUUUUGGACAAUGGGCGAAAGCCUGAUCCAGCAAUGCCGCGUGCAGGAUGAAGGCCUUCGGGUUGUAAACUGCUUUUGUACGGAACGAAACGGUGAGCUCUAAUACAGUUUGCUAAUGACGGUACCGUAAGAAUAAGCACCGGCUAACUACGUGCCAGCAGCCGCCGUAA